rnacentral:rRNA from 1 species
UACGUAGGCAGCGAGCGUUGUUCGGAAUUAUUGGGCGUAAAGGGCGCGUAGGCGGCUUGGCAAGUGGAAGGUGAAAUCCCUCGGCUUAACCGAGGAACUGCCCUCCAAACUGCUUCGCUUGAGACCGGGAGAGGUGAGUGGAAUUCCCAGUGUAGCGGUGAAAUGCGUAGAUAUUGGGAGGAACACCAGUGGCGAAGGCGGCUCACUGGACCGGUACUGACGCUGAUGCGCGAAAGCGUGGGGAGCAAACAGG